UUUUUUUUUUUUUUUUUUUACUUGAAACAAAGUCUCCGCACAGCAGCGCGAUGAGCGGCGAUGCCAGCCAGGCGACGGUCUGAGAGGAGGACUAAGGCGCUAGUGCAGAUUUGUUGGAAAGUGAAGGUCAGUUGUUACAAACUGCUUAGGGAGACAAGCUGACAGGAAGACAAAAGGGAGAAUGCUCCAGGAGCAGAAAGAUGGAGGCCUUCAUGCAUUCUGAGAACCGCACAUUCUGCCCAUGGAGAUUCCCUGUGGAGUAGAUAUCCACCUGCAGCCUGCAGAUGACCCCAUGUUGGAGCAGGUAAAAUUCCUUUAAAUGAAGCUGUGACCUGUGAAGAGCUCAUGCUGGAACUCCUAGAAGGAAUUGUGGCCCAUGGAGUGAAGCCCCCAUAGGAGGCUUGCUGGCAGACUUGUGACCCUGUGGAGAACCCACACUGGAGCAGUCUGUUCCUGAAGGACCUUGUGGAAAGGGCCCAUGCCAAAGCAGUUCCUGAAGAACUGCAGCCCAGUGGGAAGGACUGACAUUGAGAAGUUUGUCAGGUACUAUCUCCUGUGGUUGAGAAACCAUGAUGGACCAGGGCAAAAGCAUUAUGAGGAAGGAGCAGCAGAGUCAAAGUUUUGAGAAAUGACUGCAACUGACUCUCUUGAUUGGCAAUAAAUGAAAUUACUUUUUCCCAAGUCCAGUCUGUUUUCCCCAUGACAGUAAUUGGAAUGGCUCACUUGCAGAUCACAACAAUCCGUAUCAGCUAGUAAUAGGAAGAGUAUGAUUUCCUUAGGAGACAGACAGGGGAGCUCUUCACACUUUGACAUCAUGGAAGUAGGUGCUUUAGGGAUAAUUCAGACAGACAGAUAGGAUGGAUUUUAUAAUAUUUCAGAUUUUUUUCUGAUAUUUUUUGAGUAGCUUUCCUAAUAUGAAUAGAGAAGUGCUAUUUCUGAUUUCUAUAAAAGAGUAUAUGAGUUAAAUCUGGUAGUUAUUACUAUUUCUAGGCUGAAUUUUUAUCUUAGUAGCAUAUUGCACCGGCUGUUUUGUAAUUAGGUGCCAUUAAAAGAGGAUGUCUAUCAAAAUGUUAACAAG